rnacentral:misc_RNA from 1 species
GAUGAAGAACGUAGCGAAAUGCGAUAAGUAGUGUGAAUUGCAGAAUUCAGUGAAUCAUCGAAUCUUUGAACGCACAUUGCGCCCCUUGGUAUUCCAUGGGGCAUGCCUGUUCGAGCGUCAUUUGUACCUUCAAGCUUUGCUUGGUGUUGGGUGUUUGUCCAUUCUCUUGCAGAGGGACUCGCCUUAAAGUAAUUGGCAGCCAGUGUUUUGGUUUUGAAGCGCAGCACAAGUCGCGAUUCAAAGCUAUACGCCAGCUUCCACAAGCCUUUUUCACUUUUGACCUCGGAUCAGGUAGGGAUACCCGCUGAACUUAAGCAUAUCAAUAAGCGGAGGA